GNNANGNGAGUCUGACGAGCACGCCGCGUGAGUGAAGAAGGUUUUCGGAUCGUAAAACUCUGUUGUUAGAGAAGAAUGUUGAUUAGAGUGGAAAAUUAAUCAAGUGACGGUAUCUAACCAGAAAGGGACGGCUAACUACGUGCCAGCAGCCGCGGUAAUACGUAGGUCCCGAGCGUUGUCCGGAUUUAUUGGGCGUAAAGCGAGCGCAGGUGGUUUAAUAAGUCUGAUGUAAAAGGCAGUGGCUCAACCAUUGUGUGCAUUGGAAACUGUUAGACUUGAGUGCAGUAGAGGAGAGUGGAAUUCCAUGUGUAGCGGUGAAAUGCGUAGAUAUAUGGAGGAACACCGGUGGCGAAAGCGGCUCUCUGGACUGUCACUGACACUGAGACUCGAAAGCGUGGGUAGCAAACAGGAUUAGAUACCCUGGUAGUCCACGCCGUAAACGAUGAGUGCUAGUUGUUUGGGGCUAUCCAGCCCUAAGUGACGCAGCAAACGCAUUAAGCACUCCGCCUGGGGAGUACGACCGCAAGGUUGAAACUCAAAGGAAUUGACGGGGGCCCGCACAAGCGGUGGAGCAUGUGGUUUAAUUCGAAGCAACGCGAAGAACCUUACCAGGUCUUGACAUACUCGUGCUAUUCCUAGAGAUAGGAAGUUCCUUCGGGACACGGGAUACAGGUGGUGCAUGGUUGUCGUCAGCUCGUGUCGUGAGAUGUUGGGUUAAGUCCCGCAACGAGCGCAACCCUUAUUGUUAGUUGCCAUCAUUAAGUUGGGCACUCUAGCGAGACUGCCGGUAAUAAACCGGAGGAAGGUGGGGAUGACGUCAAAUCAUCAUGCCCCUUAUGACCUGGGCUACACACGUGCUACAAUGGUUGGUACAACGAGUCGCAAGACAGUGAUGUCAAGCUAAUC
rnacentral:rRNA from 1 species